GACCUGUUAGUUCAGUGGUAGAAUGUGUGAUUCCAGCAUCUGGAAGCUCCACAAGGUCAACGGUUCGAUCCCGUUACGGGUCA
rfam:Exidia glandulosa HHB12029 unplaced genomic scaffold EXIGLscaffold_33, whole genome shotgun sequence.